AUGACGACCAUCAGGCGAAUAAAAAAGAUCAUCGUCGUUUCCUCAACUGUCUUUUGAUUUCGAAAAAAUUCUUCGUCUCCUCAACUCUGUCUUUUGAUCUCAACAACAACAACGAUAAAUAGCCCUAAUCUUUAACCUUGCGUCAAUCUCAAGUAGUUGUUUCGAGGAGGAUUAUUUUCAGAAUCUAGGGUUCUCUUUCGAAUCAACAGGUAAAUUGAAUUCAGCCAUGCUCUCUUUUGAUCUCAACAGGUACACAAACGAUAACUCUUAACCAGGGUUUGGUUUUGGAGUAAUCUAGGGUUUGGUUUUGGGAAGAGCAGCUGAGAAUGAGUCUAAAUUGGCAAGAAUGAGAAUGGGUUAAUUGGAGAUGGGGGUUUGAGAGUUCUUGGAUGGUGAUAUGAGUUGGGUUGAGAUAGAUUGGCAACCAGAUGAAGAAAUCAAUCGAGAAAAAAUAUUACAGGUUCAAAUAUUUCUCUAUUUUUUUCCCUAUCAAUUUCAAUUGAAUUUCGAUUUCAGAAUUACUUAUACAAUGGGUAGUUGCAAAGCUGUUGUUGGUAUUGCUACCAGAGAAGCUACAUCAAUGGGGCAAUGGAUUCUGGUGUGUGUGCUCUGAGACUUGCAGGGACUGAAUUUGGGAUUGCAACUGUUGGUGAUGGCUGAGCAGAUACAUGGUAUUUGAACAAUGGUGCUUGAUAAGAAGGCAACGAUAUAUGUUAGCAAUCACUACAUAACAGAAUCUCCUUUCAUGCCGAAUGUAGAAGGUCUAGAAGAAGCCCAAUUUGAUGUGGAAUUAAUUCACUAAUAUUCUUUAUUCAGAUUUUUUAAAGGGGAAUAAUGGAUACAAGAACCUUCUUAAGAGUGCAUUGACAGGUGGUUGUAGUUGUUGAGAUCAGUCUGAAAAUAAAGGAAAAGGGCAUGAGUGUCUAUUCACGUGGCUUAGAAGGCUAGGUCUGUUGCUGCGAGGUUAAGGUGGGAGAAGAACAGGCAGAGUAAAAGUGAAAAACAGGAACGGGUGGAGCGUGAAGCAAGGUUGAAGUUUGAACAACAACUUGAAAUUGCACGACAGGCUAGAGUGCAGGAGGAUAUUAGGCGGGAAAGAGAACAGCAGGAAUACAAUGAGCGUGUUUUAAAAGAACAGUUAUCACGACAGCAGGUAUUUAUCAUUGAAUGUAUGCAAACCUACAAUCCAUCAGCUGAUGUGUACCAGAACCUCUAAGAGCGGCCAAUGAAUAAGAUGAAAAGCAGGGAAUUUAAUUUGUAGGAUGCUAAGUAGAAUCAGAAAGAAGAUGAUGAUGAAGAGGAAUAAAAGAAGAACUGAAAAAGGUUUUUGGUUGGUAUGAGUCGUAGUGUAAUUUAUCACCAAGAAUGCAACCCUCACAAACGAAAAGGAAGCUGAUGAUUAUCCUAUCAGAGCGAUGAAGUUUCUAUCUCUCCCUUCGUCCAUGUUGCUGUGCAGUGUAAGGUUGCCUCUGACCUUCCCAAGCUGGUGGAAGGGCUUAAGCGUCUGUCAAACUCUGAUCUUAUGGUGGUUUGUACAGUUGAGGACUCGGGCGAGCACAUUGUUGCAGGUGCUGGAGAACUCCAUCUUGAAAUCUGUUUGCAGAAAUUGCAUGAGGAUGAUUUCAUGGGAGGUGCGCGAAUUGUGAAGUCUGACCCUGCUGUUUCAUUCCGUGAGACCGUCCUAGAAAGAUUAUCUUGCAAAGAAGAUCUGGUGUUUCGGCCCCGACACCACUGGUCAAACCUCGGCUGCACAACCAAAGUAAGGUUUAAUCAUCUGUGGUUAAUUGUAGCGAUAGAAAAAUAUAUAAGGUUAAUAUCAAAACUUAAAAAGUCAUCUUUCUAUGGUUGCAAUCGACAUGGAACCCCAAC